rnacentral:lncRNA from 1 species
GAAGCUUUUCAGACAGGAUCGGUAUAUCAUCGCGUUCUGCAACCUUCGUCUAUCCCGGAAGACAUCCAUAACAUAAAGCAAAAGGUUGGUUCAGACAGGAAGUACGCAUCAGAACUUGGAUCAAAUCAUGAACUUGGAUCUGGAUUGAAUCAAGAAUAUGAUCGAAUGGAAUCAAGUACUUACAUCACAACCUCGCAGGCGAGCAGCAACAAUUGAUGCAUAAUUGAUACAACCGUUUGAUGUGGCUUGCAGCUGCCAAAUUUCUUCUUCAUGUGCAGAGAUCGACCAGAUGUCGUGGCCAUACGCCAGGGAUUUGGGAGGUGGAGCGGCAACAUAGAUCGAGAUGCAUCCGGAUGCGGUGAUUCACCACUCAAAUAGGGUGCUCGGGAGACAAGAAAUCAAGCGCCCAUGGAAGGUACAAAUCACGCACGAGUCUCAAGGAGGGCAAGGAUUGAUUUAUCCCAUGAUUUUGGGAGGAGGAGAUUUGGGACGAGCACCCUUUUUGGAGAAGGCAGCGCAAGUUCUGCAAACUGCUCCUGUGGCGCGUGCGGG